rnacentral:pre_miRNA from 10 species
AUUGGAGGAUUGGUUUAAUCUUCUGGAAACCUGCUUUCCUCUGGUGACUGGAUUAGAACGACUUUUUCUAGCACCAGUUGAAAUCAGCUUUCCCGUCGAUCUAAAAUCGGCUACAUUAGG